rnacentral:rRNA from 1 species
AGUGAACGCGGGCGGCAGGCCUAACACAUGCAAGUCGAGCGGCAGCGGGUCCUUCGGGAUGCCGGCGAGCGGCGGACGGGUGAGGAAUGCGUCGGAAUCUGCCUUUUUGUGGGGGAUAACGUAGGGAAACUUACGCUAAUACCGCAUACGACCUACGGGUGAAAGUGGGGGACCGCAAGGCCUCACGCAGAAAGAUGAGCCGACGCCGGAUUAGCUAGUUGGCGGGGUAAAGGCCCACCAAGGCGACGAUCCGUAGCUGGUCUGAGAGGAUGAUCAGCCACACUGGAACUGAGACACGGUCCAGACUCCUACGGGAGGCAGCAGUGGGGAAUAUUGGACAAUGGGCGCAAGCCUGAUCCAGCCAUGCCGCGUGUGUGAAGAAGGCCUUCGGGUUGUAAAGCCCUUUUGUCCGGAAAGAAAUCCCCUCCCUUCAUACUCGGUUGGGAUGACGGUACCGGAAGAAUAAGCACCGGCUAACUUCGUGCCAGCCGCCGCAGUAACCC